rnacentral:rRNA from 1 species
UACGUAGGGGGCAAGCGUUGUCCGGAUUUAUUGGGCGUAAAGAGCGUGUAGGCGGUUUGGUAGGUCCGUUGUGAAAACUCGAGGCUCAACCUCGAGACGCCGAUGGAAACCAUCAGACUAGAGUCCGGAAGAGGAGAGUGGAAUUCCUGGUGUAGCGGUGAAAUUCGUAGAUAUCGGGAGGAACACCGGCGGCGAAGGCGGCGAUCUGGGUCGAUACUGACGCUGGAGGUGCGAAAGCGUGGGGAGCAAACAGG